AUGACCUCCACCAACAGCUGGACCCACGAGAUUGAGUCCUCAGUCGCGGCACCGCGCCUGUUCCGUGCCGGCAUCAUGGACUGGCAUACUCUGGCACCCAAGCUCGCGCCCCACAUCGUCGCCAGCGCCCAUCCCGUCAACGGCGAAGGCGGCAUCGGCAGCGUCAGGCAGUUCAACUUUACCUCAGCCAUGCCCUUUAGCGUCAUGAAGGAGAGGCUAGAGUUCCUGGACGAGGAGAAGUGCGAGUGCAAGUCAACCCUCAUCGAGGGCGGCGGCAUCGGCUCGGCCAUCGAGACCGCAACGUCGCACAUCAAGGUGGAGCCGGCGGCCAACGGCGGGAGCGUCGUGAAAGUGGACUCGACGUACAAGCUGCUGCCAGGCGUGGAGGUGAAUGACGAAAUCACCAAGGCCAAGGAAUCCGUCACCGCCAUCUUCAAGGCCGCCGAGGCCUACCUCAUCGCCAACCCCGACGCCUACAACUGA
rnacentral:rRNA from 1 species